UGCAAACAAAGACACAAGCAAGUUGUUAGUUCGUAAUAUGUAUGUUGGCAAAAUGAAACUCGGCUAAACACUUGCAAACUUAAUAGAGCGCCAGUCCCGGGAGAUAUUUCUAGGUUACUUGUGACGAUUAUGUUUCGGUCUUCCGGUCUUAUGAAAUUAGAUUCACAGCCGCAAUGUGGGAACCCAACUCAGAAGGUAGUGUAAUAUUGGAGAGGCCAAUAAAACAGCACAAUACGCCUUUAUUCAUCAGAAAACACAGAGAUUCUUAUUGUAUACCUUUGGUUGAUUUAAGCCCAUUGAUAGAUUGCAGCAAGUUAUUUGGAAAGUGAAUUUGAUGGAUAUAUUAAAUGAUGGCAGAAAAAAUUUCAGUAAUCUGUGAUCUAUAUUCAUGAAUCUCAGGUCAAAGGUAGUGAAGUUAAACAGUUGUGGUGCUGUUGCUGCAUAAAUUUAGGAAAAAUGUAUGAAAUAUUUCAUUAUGAGAAAUGAUGUACGAUGUGAGGAUUUAUCCCAAAUGAUGGAUUAAAUGGAGUAACGGAGAAAUAAAAGAUGUAAUAUUUGAACAACGACUUGACACUGAUAACAGAAAUUAUCUUUAAGGUUCCACUGAUUUGUUGUAGAAUUGGUUACUUGAUCAUGAUGAAUUUGCAGGAAAUAAAGUGUUGAUUUGUACAUCAGAUGAAAAGAUGUGACACAAUUGUCAUUCUAAAUAACCAAUCAACUUCCAGAUGUAUGCUUGAUAUUACAACGGCAGAAAGAAAAACCUCCUACACAGUUUAUAAGAUUUAUGUUAUAUUAUGAUAAACCAAGAUUUAUAACAGAUGACAUGUCAAUGUCAUACUGUCAUGUCAGUGACAAGUACACUUGUCAACAUUAUAUGUAACACAGCAGAUGUGAGAAAUGUUCAAAUGUUCACACCCAUGUGGUGUGGGAGGUGUUGGGUAAAACUUUUGAGGGGGAGUUGGUAGAUUAACAAAUUUCUUUUGUUAUUUUUUGUUUGAUUGGCCUUGAACUAUAUCAAUCAAAGUUUGAAAAAUGAGUUACUAUUGAUUUGUGAGGUAAAUAAAGGUGUGUUAUAAUAUUUUGUUCUAGUACUCUAUCUCUCAAAUAGUAGUAUUUGAAUUUUAUAAAUAAACCUACUUAGGUCAAAGAAAUCAAAGUACACUCUCUUUACUUGUAUAUUGUAUUAUAAGUUUAAACAUAAUUUGAACAGAUUAAGAUUUACCUGUGAAUAUUACUUGAAGCCUGCCUACUUAGAUUGAACAUCUAUAAUAAAAAAAGUCACAAUAUUGUUAAGGGCGUAGAUUAUCUUGUGAAUACUACCAAAAUUAGAGGUCCACUUAGAUUUUAGAAUAAAAAAGUUAAAAUAUUGAGGAGUCAUCAGUUGCUGAUCCGAGUAAAAGUUUUUUUAAUUGCUGUCAAUCUCAAAUAUAUAACAAUUACCGGAAGAUAAGGUAAUCUUUAGUUGACAAUUAUGACAAGGUGAUUUUAUUAGCUGUGUAAUGAGAUUUAUGUGGGAUGUAGAAAAAUCUUGCCAUUAAGACAUUA